AUGGUCACAGACAAGGUUCGGAAAAACCAUGAGACUUUGUCAGAAGACCACAAAAAGUACAUCAUAUCAGAAACCAGUCUUGGCGGACUAACCCAGAUGCAUGAAGUGACUCUACGUCGCAUAAUGUUGGUUAGACUAGCCAAGAGCAUAGAUAUGGACACGAAAUCCAUUACCAUCGGUAAAACGCCAAUUCCUAUAACAAAAGAGGACGUGCAAGGUAUAUUUGGCAUUCCGAUAGAAGGGGAGGAUAUAGAGCCACAUAUGGAAAAUCAAACCGACACAGAAUUGUUUACUACCUAUGCAAACAAUGGGCAAAUUUUGAUUUCUGACCUUGAAACGGCGAUCCGAGCUUCCAAAGCCCCAGACGGUGAUUUCCUGAGACGGUUCAUUCUGUACGCAAUUGGUACUGUUCUAGCACCGACAGCACAACAUUAG
rnacentral:rRNA from 1 species